UCUUACUGUCUUAAAAACUCAGAUUCUUUCAUUGAAAUGGCAUUAAGUAAACUUAAGACAAUGCUACAUGGAUUAGAGACUACCUAUAGUGCACCCAACUUGCAGGAUGUCAUUUAGUAUGCGUGUAUUCUUAACCCAACUUGCAGCCUAAUGGCUUUUUAAAGUCAAAACUUCCAUAGUCCUUUUGCAGUAUGAUUUUUGAGGCAUAUGGAGACAGAAUCUGAGCCAAUAUAUUUUAUUCCAAAUGAGGCUCUUUGAUUUCUCACAUGCUUUUGAAAUGUGAUGUUUGUCUACCCUGGAAAACUCUGCCGUUUCAACUCUCUGGAAAGCUAGGAAAGGUUUUGAAUAAUUGUAUCAUGGGUAGUUUUUGGAUUCCACUACUUGUGGGCUACUUCUGCUGGAUAAAUGUGUUGCCUACAUACAGUAUUCUCUUAACCCUGCUUCUCAAAAUCCUAUAUUUUCUGUUGUCAAGUCAAGAAUUACAAAGCCACACUUUGGCAUGGAGAAUACUACUCUACAGUUACUCAUCCUUAAUGACCUGUAGUACAGAAAAGUGAAAACAUUGUGGAGGAGAUAAAUUACCAAAAUAGAAGAUAAGCUGAAAAGGCAAUGGAAAAUAUAUCAUACAUAUCAAAGUUGCUCAUUUAUGCUAUUUUGCCAUAACAAUGCAUACAACUGAAGCACUUCCCUUCUCCAUUGGAGUUUUGUCUCUAGAGGUAUUAAAUAUUAAUCUUAUAAAGAAAAGAAAGCAAAAAAAAAAAACCCUGAACACAUGUUAAUAGGUUAGGGUUUUAAGAGCAAAUCACAAAAGCAGAAUAAGUACUUGGAGGAAAAAAACAGGAAGAGAGAGAAAGAGGGAGAGAGAGAGAGAGGUGGGGUAAAUUGUGGACCCUCCUUUUAAAGAAACAAAAUUUUCCACAGAGUUGCAUUAAUACUUAAAUUGGACUAACUCCAUGUGAAUCCUCGUAAGAAAUACUAUUUCCUUUCAAUUAACUCAUCUAUCCUACAAUUACAUGUCAUGAAAUCUAAAGGCAAAUAUGUUUACCCAGUAAGGGAAUAACAUUCGAGGCAAAAGUGAUGUCACAAACAGAUGGGAAUUCCAAGUAAUACUGAGUCAUGGUUCUAGGGGAAUAAAACAAUUACUUUACAGCUCAGUGCAAUGUAGUAUUUAAAGAAAAGGUAGGCAUUUUGAUUCCCAAGUAAACUAAAGAGAAGAAAACUGAGGCUUAAAGAGGGUAAGUGAUUUGCCAAGGGUCACAGAACAAGUAAGAGGUACAGCUGGAUUCAAAUUUAAGUAUAUCUUGUCCUCAAGUCUUUCCUCUUUAUUUCCUACUAAAACUAAAAAGGGUAAUGGCACAGCAGCUAAUCAUAUUUGAUGUAUUAAAACAUAAAUACUGGUGUCAAAUAUAAGUACUAAAUCAGGCAUCAGUUCCUUCCUACUAAAAACAUUAAAAAACAAUUCAGCAAAAAUUCGUACUCUGCAGGAUCAUAGAGUGCUUUGAUACCCUCAUCUACAGCAGUGUUUCUCAACCUUUUUAUUCAUUGUUGCUCUCCUAAGGGACCUUCUUAGACAUUUUUUUCAUACUUGUCUCCCAAGAAAUUUUAAUACUAUAGAUAUACCAUAUAUCUAUGUACCAUAUGUAUAUCUGUGCUCAUACAUAAAAAGAAUAAGUUUUUGCUCCUUAGAAUAAUUUUUUUGCCCUUUGGGAGCAAUGAAUAUGUAUGAUUUAGAUAUUAUACCUCUAUGUUUCUCCAAAACCUUUCAAGUCACUCUUAUUGCUUACAAUUGUAUGGGCUUAGAGCUUUAGAUUUUUAGCUUAAAGUUUUUCAGUGUGUUAAAAUGCAAAUAUAUAGAAAACGUUGAUGAACCACAACAAGCCAUUUGUAUCCUGGUGUAAAAUAGAAGCUCAGAAAGCCAGUUUGAUAAGGGAAAGGAGAAGAAUGGGAGGUCACUCUGUAUUGGGGCAGGGAAGGGGAAGAGCGGAGAGCCUCUGGUGUUGAAAUGCCUGCGUCACAACUGUACUUCAGUCCAGUCCCGUUGAACAUAUUAACACAAGUAUUUGAAGAAAAGAUGCUAGCUCCUAUUCAUGAUGAACAAGAAAACUUAGUCAUAAGCCACCUUAGUGGCCAUCACCCUAUUAUUGUGUAAAUAUUAGGUUUCCUGCUUGUAAAGAAUUUGCUGUUUGGUUCCUUUCAGGCCUGUUUGCGUGUUCCCAACUGCUAUGUGGCCAAGAAUAAGUAAGUUUAUGUAACGUUCCAAAGAAACUGCUCAAAACCGUGGCUCAUUUUAACUAAGAUAUGAAUAGAAGGCAGAAAUGAAUUCACAAACACUUCUUUCACAUGCACUGCAAAAUAUAACUUUUUACUCCUCCAGGCCAAAAUGGUCUUAACCAUUGAAGUAAUUAUAGCUCACAACUAUAAUUUAAAGUUAGAUCUGGUUGAUUCUAAAUUCACACAGGAAAAUAAUUCACUCAUCUUACUGGAACAUUGACGUAAAUAACUUUAUAAAACCCAUACAGUUUCAGCAAUCCUAGAAAGUGUUGUGAAUCCAAAUAGAAACAGUUGAUAAAUUAAUAAGACAGUUGAUAAAAUAAUUUAGUAAGACAACAAUAAUUGUCUACCAUUUAUUGGUUAAAGUAUUAUGCUUGACACUUUAUAAAUAUUACCUAUUUAAUCGUUACAGCAAUCUUUAAUAUUGGUAUCCUUAUUUACAAAGAAAAUGAGUGCAGAAAGGACAAGUAGUUUUCGUGAAACCACUUGGAAGUGGAGGAGAAGGGUUUUGAACUCCCAUCAUCUCAAGCUCAUGCUUUGCCAUCUCACCACAGUGAAAUGAUGGAAAACUCAAGUCUGCAAACCUUAAAUUUUCAAUCAAAGGGAGGAAACCUUGGGCAAAUGAAGAGGUCAUGGAUAUGAUAUGAAAAUAUUUUAUGAUUUUGCAUGUGAGAAGCUACUGCAUAGAUGAAUUCAACUGCAGGAUCCCUUUUAAAAAAUAUGUAUCUUCAAGAUUGAGUGUGAGCCUUCACAAACUCCUCCUUGUAUCUUAAGUCUGCUGGAGUACUGGCCUGACUCCACUCACUCACUGUGUACUUCGUUUGAAACUAACAAACAAUACAGUGACUGUCAGUAGAUGUUGCCUCCUCAGUCUACAGAGCCAACAAAAAUUAUGGAAAAUGUCAUCAGAUUUCCAUGACAACAUCACGCUGUAUAAUCAACAUGGUUCGAACUAGUCACAUCUUUGCACAACUGGACACAUCAAAAUAAUUGUAUUAUGUCAUCAGUGAUGCCACCAGACAGAGCACCAGCUCCCUUCCUACACUGGAUAGCAGACGUUCAAAUAACGCAAUGUACUGAAGAACUAAUACAGUUUAGACACCAGAGGUCUCACAAGUUAAACCCUCUAUAUAAUACAGAGCCCUCCUGAGAAUCAACUUAAGGUGAAAUGUUUUAAAGAAGAGAUAAUGGUGGUGGUGUGGUGGUACAUGUUGAGCAACCAGCUCUCUGGAGCAACUGAAAAAUACUUCUAAUCUGGCAAAUUCAGCGAGAAGACUGAGUUCCUUAAUUUCUGUCAGCACCAGUGAAAAACUGUCCUAAACUGACCCUGGCUUACAGAUGUACCACUGGAUCUUGGACUAAAUGGUAAUGGUAAUCAUUCUGAGCUUCCAUUAAAAUUCUAAGCCUUCUUCCAUUUUAUUUCUUAUUAACAGCUAUUAUUGUUGUUGUUGUUGUUGUUGUUGUUGUUGUUGUUGUUAUUAUAGCAAAGAAGAACAGCAGAAUGGUUGGUGGAGAUUCCUAUGCUUUCGACCCAUGGCGGGGUCACUAAGUCAGGUGAAUCACCUCCCACCCCUAAAGAUUCCCACCCAGUUAUGCCUUCUAAUGUGCUGUUCACAGUUUAUCAACUGAUUCUGAAAUUCUGAGACUUAACAGUUUUAAACUGA
rnacentral:lncRNA from 1 species